AGAACGAACGCUGGCGGCAGGCUUAACACAUGCAAGUCGAACGCGUGUAGCAAUACACGAGUGGCGCACGGGUGAGUAACGCGUGGAUAUCUGCCUUUUGGUUCGGAAUAACCCCGGGAAACUGGGGCUAAUACCGGAUGGUUCCUACGGGAUAAAGAUUUAUCGCCAAAAGAUGAGUCCGCGUACGAUUAGCUAGUUGGUGAGGUAAUGGCUCACCAAGGCGACGAUCGUUAGCUGGUCUGAGAGGACGAUCAGCCACAUUGGGACUGAGACACGGCCCAAACUCCUACGGGAGGCAGCAGUAGGAAUCUUGCGCAAUGGGCGAAAGCCUGACGCAGCCAUGCCGCGUGAAUGAUGAAGGUCUUAGGAUUGUAAAAUUCUUUCACCGGGGAAGAUAAUGACGGUACCCGGAGAACGAAGCCCCGGCUAACUUCGUGCCAGCAGCCGC
rnacentral:rRNA from 1 species